rnacentral:rRNA from 1 species
UCUACGGAGAGUUUGAUUCUGGCUCAGAACGAACGCUGGCGGCGUGGAUAAGACAUGCAAGUCGAACGGAGAAUUUUAAUAGCUUGCUAAUGAAAUUCUUAGUGGCGGACGGGUUAGUAACACGUGAGAAUCCUACCCUUAAGUGGGGAAUAGCCUUUCGAAAGGAAGAUUAAUGCCCCAUGGUCUCUACGGAGUAAAGAUGCCUUCGGGUGUCGCUUAAGGAUGGGCUCGCGGCCUAUCAGCUAGUUGGUGAGGUAAGAGCUCACCAAGGCAACGACGGGUAGCUGGUCUGAGAGGACGAUCAGCAACACUGGAACUGAGACACGGUCCAGACACCUACGGGUGGCAGCAGUCGAGAAUCAUUCACAAUGGACGAAAGUCUGAUGGUGCAACGCCGCGUGGAGGAUGACGGCCCUAGGGUUGUAAACUCCUGUCAUCAGGGAGUAAGACUUAUUCGUUAAUAGCGUGUAAGUUUGAUAGUACCUGAAGAGGAAGGGACGGCUAACUUCGUGCCAGCAGCCGCGGUAAUACGAAGGUCCCAAGCGUUGUUCGGAAUAACUGGGCGUAAAGCGUGUGUAGGCCGCGCGGAAAGUCGGAUGUGAAAGCCCAAGGCUUAACCUUGGAACUGCAUUCGAUACUCCCGUGCUAGAGUAAUGGAGAGGUAAGUGGAAUUCUCGGUGUAGCAGUGAAAUGC